GACAGAGGAUGCAAGCGUUAUCCGGAAUGAUUGGGCGUAAAGCGUCUGUAGGUGGCUUUUUAAGUCUGCCGUCAAAUCCCAGGGCUUAACCCUGGACAGGCGGUGGAAACUACCAAGCUGGAGUACGGUAGGGGCAGAGGGAAUUUCCGGUGGAGCGGUGAAAUGCGCAGAUAUCAGGAGGAACACCGGUGGCGAAGGCGGGUCUCUGGGCCGAUACUGACGCUAAGGAGCGAAAGCGUGGGGAGCGAACAGG
rnacentral:rRNA from 1 species